rnacentral:rRNA from 1 species
GACGAACGCUGGCGGCGUGCCUAGUACAUGCAAGUUGAGCGCUGAAGGUUGGUACUUGUACCAACUGGAUGAGCAGCGAACGGGUGAGUAACGCGUGGGGAAUCUGCCUUUGAGCGGGGGACAACAUUUGGAAACGAAUGCUAAUACCGCAUAAAAACUUUAAACACAAGUUUUAAGUUUGAAAGAUGCAAUUGCAUCACUCAAAGAUGAUCCCGCGUUGUAUUAGCUAGUUGGUGAGGUAAAGGCUCACCAAGGCGAUGAUACAUAGCCGACCUGAGAGGGUGGUCGGCCACAUUGGGACUGAGACACGGCCCAAACUCCUACGGGAGGCAGCAGUAGGGAAUCUUCGGCAAUGGAGGAAAGUCUGACCGAGCAACGCCGCGUGAGUGAAGAAGGUUUUCGGAUCGUAAAACUCUGUUGGUAGAGAAGAACGUUGGUGAGAGUGGAAAGCUCAUCAAGUGACGGUAACUACCCAGAAAGGGACGGCUAACUACGUG